AUAUACUAAACCAGAUGCGUUUCCUAAUUUUGAAAUGUGUAAAGCUGGCAUUUAAAUAAACCAAACCACUGAAUAAGAAGGUCUGUAAAAGAAACCUGAAAGAUUUCUGUCAGACCUUCAAAGAGCAUGAAGGACAGGCCUUGUCUAGUUCUGCUCAUAUGCAGCAGUCACUGGAAAGAUUUAGGGGUCUUUCCAUAGGAAUGUGAUUUUUUUUUUUUUAAUAACAGUGCUGAGUCUGAUCAAAUAACAAGAAAUGGCUCUUCUCACAGUAUCAGUAACUCAGAGAUACCUUCUUGCCAUUAGAAAUUCAUUAACUAUCUCUGCACAACCAGGAGCAGAUUCUAACUGCUGAAAGGGAACACUCCGCAACAUGCAAACAGAAAACUACAAUUUAAUUCUGCAAUGUAUCUUGAAGCCUGUUGCUCAGAAAGGCAGCAGUACAGCAGGGGAAGAGCAGAAACAAAAACCUGGCAGAACCUCAAGUGUGAGGCUAGCAACCAAAACAGGUAUCACUGAACAAAAGCAGGACAACAGGACACAAGUAUGCAAGAUCAGCCCUGAAACCACUGCAGCUUCCGAAGCACAACCUGCCUGGUUGCCUUGUGAUUUGUGAAUGGAAAUAUUCUCCUUUAUUCCUAAAAUUAUUUUUCUAAUAUCUAUAAAAUUAAAAUGUUGCACAAAAA